GAUGAACGCUGGCGGCGUGCCUAAUACAUGCAAGUCGAGCGAACAGACGAGGAGCUUGCUCCUCUGACGUUAGCGGCGGACGGGUGAGUAACACGUGGAUAACCUACCUAUAAGACUGGGAUAACUUCGGGAAACCGGAGCUAAUACCGGAUAAUAUAUUGAACCGCAUGGUUCAAUAGUGAAAGACGGUUUUGCUGUCACUUAUAGAUGGAUCCGCGCCGCAUUAGCUAGUUGGUAAGGUAACGGCUUACCAAGGCGACGAUGCGUAGCCGACCUGAGAGGGUGAUCGGCCACACUGGAACUGAGACACGGUCCAGACUCCUACGGGAGGCAGCAGUAGGGAAUCUCCCGCAAUGGGCGAAAGCCUGACGGAGCAACGCCGCGUGAGUGAUGAAGGUCUUCGGAUCGUAAAACUCUGUUAUCAGGGAAGAACAAAUGUGUAAGUAACUAUGCACGUCUUGACGGUACCUAAUCAGAAAGCCACGGCUAACUACGUG
rnacentral:rRNA from 1 species